rnacentral:rRNA from 1 species
AGAGAGAGACAUGCGCGCAUAUCAAUAAGCGGAGGAAAAGAAACUAACAAGGAUUCCCUUAGUGACGGCGAGUGAAGCGGGAAGAGCUCAAAUUUGAAAUCUUCAAGGUUUUACCUUGACGAAUUGUAGUUUAAAGAAGUGUUUUCUGCUGAAGUUCUGGUAAAAGUUCUUUGGAAUAGGACAUCAUAGAGGGUGAGAAUCCCGUAUUUGACCAUUAUUUUCAGCUUUGUGAUACACUUUCAAAGAGUCGGAUUGUUUGGGAAUGCAGUCCAAAAUGGGUGGUAAAUUUCAUCUAAAGCUAAAUAUUGGCGAGAGACCGAUAGCGAACAAGUACCGUGAGGGAAAGAUGAAAAGAACUUUGAAAAGAGAGUUAAACAGUACGUGAAAUUGUCAAAAGGGAAGCGUUUGACACCAGUGUUGUUUUCUCGAAAAUCAAUUAAAAAUGGCUCGAUUUUGUAUUGUUGAGACCUUAAAAGCUCACUGUACAUUUUUCGUGUCUUUUUUAAUGCACUUUUCGUUUAACAAGUCAACAUCAGUUUCUUUUGUUGUAAAAGGGUCAUUGGAAGGUGGCUUUCUUUUCGGAGAAAGUGUUUAUAGCCUUUGGCCUCUGCAAUCAGAGAGGACUGAGGUCUGCAGCGUAGACUCUUCGGGGUUAGAUACAUUUGUGCUAAGUUAUAGCUUUUUAUAGACAACUUGUUGACUAUAAUUAGUCUUGUAGCUUACUCGCUUAUGCUAUUUUACCUACGCUUAGGAUGUUGAGUCGUAGAGCACGCAG